CUGCAUGGCUGUCGUCAGCUCGUGUCGUGAGAUGUUGGGUUAAGUCCCGCAACGAGCGCAACCCUCGCCUUUAGUUACCAUCAUUUAGUUGGGUACUCUAAAGGAACCGCCGGUGAUAAGCCGGAGGAAGGUGGGGAUGACGUCAAGUCCUCAUGGCCCUUACGCGCUGGGCUACACACGCGCUACAAUGGCGGUGACAGUGGGCAGCAAUCCCGCGAGGGUGAGCUAAUCUCCAAAAGCCGUCUCAGUUCGGAUUGUUCUCUGCAACUCGAGAGCAUGAAGGCGGAAUCGCUAGUAAUCGCGGAUCAGCAUGCCGCGGUGAAUACGUU
rnacentral:rRNA from 1 species